CCUUCAGGUAUUUAUACACAUUGAUAAGAUCCUCCCUGGGCCUUCUCUUCUGCAGGCUAAAAGUCCAUCCAGAUCAUUAAUGCAGAUGUUACAUGGGACCGGAUCUGAUAUUGACUACUGGAGUGCUCCACUCAUUGCUGGCCUCCAACUACACCUUGCACCACUGACCACCACCCUCUGGGCCCAGCUGAUCAGCCAGUUUUCAAUCCACCUCACUGUCUGCUCAUCCAGACCAUGCUUCAACAGCUUCUGAUCUUAUGGAUGACAGUGUCAAAGGCCUUCUGAAUCCAGGAAGACAUGAUGUGGUAUUCCUUCAUAUUCUCUGUUAACAUGACUUAUGUUAGGUACUAAGCUUUUGUAUUUCAUUUAUAAUCAAGCAUUCGUUUCACAGGCUGCAUGGCACGGCUUUUACGGAGAAGUAAUUCCUUACUUUAUUGGGUCAGUUGCUAAUCUGCCUCACAACUUGUGGGGCAGAAUCAUACCUUGAAGUUAACUAAACACAGCCAAAGCUACUUCCAACUUGGUUUUGACCUAACCUCUCCCUUCACCCAGUCUACCUUCCCCAGCUGCAUGAUUUUCUGAGCACUCACAGCUGCAGCUGAAGUGAACAGAUGAAAUCCUGGCUUCCAGCUGCAAAGCUCUUACUGACCUCAGUUAAAAACAGGAUUUUACCUAGUGGCAGUCAUUUAGCACCUUUGAAAAUUGAGGAUUUAACAAGCAACCAAAGGUCAGAGCAGAAAUCAAUGGCAGAAAAAGAACUAUACCUCUGGAGGGGUCUAACUCCAGGUACAGCUGUGGAAGCACAAGGUGCAUUCCUCCCUGCUACCAUGUCACAGGUUUUUCUGCCAUUUCUGAGCCUGCUUUCCUAGCCCUGGACUGAGGUAGAAGUGUGACAGUAUACUGAUAAAGUUGCAAACUUGCACUAGCUCUUUUAUCCUGCAGUGUGAGGGAAUUUCAACAUUCUGGGAAGAUAAAUGUCUCCAGGCGGGAGGAAGAGAAAAAAAAAAAAAAAGUCAGAUGAACAGCACAACACACAGCUCUGAACAAUAUCUGAGGCAACUUCAGUGAAGCAUGAUUGGCAGGAAUUAUUUAAUUGGAUAACAACAAGAAGAGAAGAAGAGCAAGAGCUAAGCAAUGUUUUACUUUCAUGGUGCCAAACUGUGGAGUGCAGAAGUCCUUGAGAAACCCUGCCACUGCAAGUCAAACCACAUACUGUUCUGGGACAGAACACAAUGCUUGCCUCUCUUUGGGAGGUAUUCCACUUUAUACAAAAACUUUAGCUCUGGCAUGGUGAAUACCUAUGAAUUCUUGUCCUGGUACCUGGAGCGUGUAGCCAAGAGCUGCAUCCCAGACCUUGCAUUUUUUUUCCAGGGCUUAUUAAAAAAAUGGUGUUAUACACAGAAGCCAUUUCCAGGCACAUGAAGGACAAGGUGAUUGUGAACACAGUCUGGAUAAAUCAUGGGUAAUAAAUGAGGAUAAAUCAUG